ensembl:misc_RNA Metazoa_SRP Metazoan signal recognition particle RNA
GCUGGGCGCGGUGGCGCGUGCCUGUAGUCCCAGCUACUCGGGAGGCUGAGGCUGGAGGAUCACUUGAGCCCAGGAGUUCUGGGCUGUAGUGCGCUAUGCCGAUCGGGUGUCUGCACUCAGUUCGGCAUCAAUAUGGUGACCUCCCGGGAGCCGGGGACCACCAGGUUGCCUAAGGAGGGGUGACUCGGCCCAGGUCGGAAAUGGAGCAGGUCAAAACUCCUGUGCUGAUCAGUAGUGGGAUCGAACCUGUGAACAGCCACUGCACUCCAGCCUGGGCAACAUAGCGAGACCCCAUCUCU